ensembl:lncRNA
GGCAGCGUCCGUGUCUGUGUUUCGCGGAUGUCCAGGAAUCCAAGCUCCAGGGAAGACCAGCAAGCUGCACAAUAAUCUGGAGCUCUUGCAAAAGCAGCCUGCCUCUGCAGAGACCAAGAAACAGCACCCGCUGUGCCCGUUUUCUUCCUUCUCAUCUCGUUACUGCUCAGACACUAGGAAAGAGCUGGGAGCUGCCUGGCAGAUCUGAGCAGGAGUGGGGCAGGUCUCCACAUCAGCAACCCGAGGUCUCCAGCCUCCCUUUGGCCACCUCAUUCGAUGUGCUGACCUGCUCCUGGGCUUUGAUGUUACUAGUAUGUUAUGGAACCUAUGAUGUCAGCUUUCCUCAAAGAUUUAUGGCCCAGGAUGUGAUCUAUCCUGGAGAAGGUUCUGUGUGCAUUUGAGAGAUCAAUGGAACAAAAUAGAAAGCCCAAAGAUAAAUCCAUGCACCUAUGGACAACUUAUCUUUGACAAAGGAAGCAAGAAUAUACAAUGGAUUAAAGACAAUCUCUUUAACAAGUGGUGCUGGGAAAACUGGUCAACCACUUGUAAAAGAAUGAAACUAGAAUGCUUUCUAACACCAUACAUAAAAAUAAACUCAAAAUGGA